rnacentral:tRNA from 1 species
UGUGGCUCAGUGGUAGAGCAAGCGCUUACCUAGCAUGCUCAAGGCCCUGGGUUCAAUUCCCAGCA